rnacentral:lncRNA from 1 species
UUCUAUCCACGACCCAUCCAUCUUGCUGACGGCCGACCUGAGCAGCUACCUGAGAGCUGGCAGCGCUCGCUCGAUGAAGGCCGCCGAAUGACCUGGAAGCCACCCUGAUGGGCAGGGCCCUCGAGGUUAAUGAGACACAGGUUUGGAUGUCUCUAUUCAGAAGACUUUGGCCUGUAAUCCCCCUCUCAUGGGCUGUCUCACACCGCACUUGGUAUCAAGAUUCUCCCGAUCUGGUGAAGGCAGUGUUGCUGUGUUCCUUCUGGAUCUAUUCUAUGGAAAAGAGUGCAUAAAAUUGGCAUGGGAAAUGGGACAUUUUUCUAAAUAGAGGAAAAUAUUUAAGGCAAAAAUCCUGAUAGAAAAAUCAAGAAUACAAAUUCAGAGCUUGGGAAAUUCAUCUCUCCACCAUCUCCAAUCUGAGGACGGGGUAUGUUACACUAACCUUCAGGUACAGCUGUGAUGAAGGAUGAAGUGUUGACUGAUGCGGGGAUGGAAUUUUGUUUCUAGAACAUUGAUCCUUGGGUUGUGCUUUGCACAGAGGAGCAUGCUUUCUAGAGAAAUGCACACACACUCCCAAAGGCAUUCACCAUCACUCCACACGGACUCUCUCCUCCAUAUCUCCCCACCCUGAUGCACCCCUAUUCCUAUUUAAAUGACAUCACUGCUUCUGGGAACUGCAGUGGAUGGCCACAGUUGUUGACUAAACUCUUCAUUUCUUUACACCAAACUGCCCAAACCUCAUUUCCAGCAGGAGGCUCAAACCAGGGUAGUUCUCCAGCAAAAGUAGGGAGGAAAGUGUCACCUUUCUCAAAGCUAAGAUUUUUCCUUAUUAAAUGGGAGAUCCCAGAGUACGCACGUUAGAGCUGAAUCGCUGAGUGUGUCUGCAGAGAGAAAGGAAAACACCGUGAGCCUCAGACCAUGCUGUGUCCUGUGUUCAUGGGUCUUUUCUUCACUUGGUGACAUUAGAAAACUGGUUGGGAGAUAGUGCUCGAGGCAAUGGCCCCCAAAUAAAGCCUAGAAGACACUUGAGGAAAUGUACAAGUGUUCACCAGCAUCUGAAGGACAAUGCAGGUGGUGAAACACAUGUCCAGAAAUGAGAGCUUUCGGAGGAAGAAGUACAUUGGGGUGCGGAGCCGGUAGUCCAGCAGAGAGACCAAGAUGAUGGCUGUGUU